rnacentral:rRNA from 1 species
AAUGGGUCAGCGACUUAUAUUCUGUAGCAAGGUUAACCGAAUAGGGGAGCCGAAGGGAAACCGAGUCUUAACUGGGCGUUAAGUUGCAGGGUAUAGACCCGAAACCCGGUGAUCUAGCCAUGGGCAGGUUGAAGGUUGGGUAACACUAACUGGAGGACCGAACCGACUAAUGUUGAAAAAUUAGCGGAUGACUUGUGGCUGGGGGUGAAAGGCCAAUCAAACCGGGAGAUAGCUGGUUCUCCCCGAAAGCUAUUUAGGUAGCGCCUCGUGAAUUCAUCUCCGGGGGUAGAGCACUGUUUCGGCAAGGGGGUCAUCCCGACUUACCAACCCGAUGCAAACUGCGAAUACCGGAGAAUGUUAUCACGGGAGACACACGGCGGGUGCUAACGUCCGUCGUGAAGAGGGAAACAACCCAGACCGCCAGCUAAGGUCCCAAAGUCAUGGUUAAGUGGGAAACGAUGUGGGAAGGCCCAGACAGCCAGGAUGUUGGCUUAGAAGCAGCCAUCAUUUAAAGAAAGCGUAAUAGCUCACUGGUCGAGUCGGCCUGCGCGGAAGAUGUAACGGGGCUAAACCAUGCACCGAAGCUGCGGCAGCGACGCUGAUGCGUUGUUGGGUAGGGGAGCGUUCUGUAAGCCUGUGAAGGUGUGCUGUGAGGCAUGCUGGAGGUAUCAGAAGUGCGAAUGCUGACAUAAGUAACGAUAAAGCGGGUGAAAAGCCCGCUCGCCGGAAGACCAAGGGUUCCUGUCCAACGUUAAUCGGGGCAGGGUGAGUCGACCCCUAAGGCGAGGCCGAAAGGCGUAGUCGAUGGGAAACAGGUUAAUAUUCCUGUACUUGGUGUUACUGCGAAGGGGGGACGGAGAAGGCUAUGUUGGCCGGGCGACGGUUGUCCCGGUUUAAGCGUGUAGGCUGGUUUUCCAGGCAAAUCCGGAAAAUCAAGGCUGAGGCGUGAUGACGAGGCACUACGGUGCUGAAGCAACAAAUGCCCUGCUUCCAGGAAAAGCCUCUAAGCAUCAGGUAACAUCAAAUCGUACCCCAAACCGACACAGGUGGUCAGGUAGAGAAUACCAAGGCGCUUGAGAGAACUCGGGUGAAGGAACUAGGCAAAAUGGUGCCGUAACU